rnacentral:lncRNA from 1 species
CGACACCGUUCAUAGGCCGCAGCGUUCCGCCGGCGAGGACUGUUUCCACCGCCGCUUCACACACUGGCCAGUUCCCAGUCGACAAUAGCCCUACCGCUCCGCUCACCGGAUUCACCGUACGACCACAUGCUUCAUAUAACAGCGACUGAAAUAAAGCUAAAAGAUAAAACAAAUUAAAAUUUCUAUUUUUUUUUCCUUAAAAAAAUUAAGCAAAAUUCCAAACGAUGCAUUUCUCAUUUGCUAUUGAUCUUCAGUUACCAGGUUUUUUGGAGUCGGGGACGGCGGUGAUGAAGGACAUGAGAUCACUGCGGCGAAGAACUUGGAGACGAAAAGAGUGGCGUUGGCUUGAGCUUGGGAGUGGGGAUC